GGCCGCUUGGCGCAAUGGUAGCGCGUCUGACUACGAUUUGGUUCUUGGGCUUGUACGAGCAUGAGACAGAAAGUCGUCAUCAGGAGGUCGCAGGUUCGACCCCUGCAGUGGUCA